AGUGAACGCUGGCGGUAGGCCUAACACAUGCAAGUCGAACGGCAGCACAGUAAGAGUUUGCUCUUACGGGUGGCGAGUGGCGGACGGGUGAGGAAUAUAUCGGAAUCUACUUUUUCGUGGGGGAUAACGUAGGGAAACUUACGCUAAUACCGCAUAUGACCUACGGGUGAAAGCAGUGGAUCUUCGCACCUUGCGCGAUUGAAUGAGCCGAUGUCGGAUUAGCUAGUUGGCGGGGUAAAGGCCCACCAAGGCGACGAUCCGUAGCUGGUCUGAGAGGAUGAUCGGCCACACUGGAACUGAGACACGGUCCAGACUCCUACGGGAGGCAGCAGUGGGGAAUAUUGGGCAAUGGGCGCAAGCCUGAUCCAGCCAUACCGCGUGGGUGAAGAAGGCCUUCGGGUUGUAAAGCCCUUUUGUUGGGAAAGAAAAGCAGCAGGUUAAUACCCCGCUGUUCUGACGGUACCCAAAGAAUAAGCACCGGCUAACUACGUG
rnacentral:rRNA from 1 species